rnacentral:rRNA from 1 species
GACGAACGCUGGCGGCGUGCUUAACACAUGCAAGUCGAACGGAAAGGCCCUGCUUUUGUGGGGUGCUCGAGUGGCGAACGGGUGAGUAACACGUGAGUAACCUGCCCUUGACUUUGGGAUUACUUCAGGAAACUGGGGUUACUACCGGAUAGGCGCUCCUGCUGCAUGGUGGGGGUUGGAAAGUUUCGGCGGUUGGGGAUGGACUCGCGGUUUAUCAGCUUGUUGGUGGGGUAGUGGCUUACCAAGGCUUUGACGGGUAGCCGGCCUGAGGGGGUGACCGGCCACAUUGGGACUGGGAUACGGCCCAGACUCCUACGGGAGGCAGCAGUGGGGAAUAUUGCACAAUGGGCGGAAGCCUGAUGCAGCAACGCGGCUGGCGGGAUGACGGCCUUCGGGUGGUAAACCGCUUUCGCCUGUGACGAAGCGUGAGUGACGGUAAUGGGUAAAGAAGCACCGGCUAACUACGUG